rnacentral:rRNA from 1 species
AGAAUCAACGCUGGCGGCGUGCCUAACACAUGCAAGUCGAACGAGAAAGUGGAGCAAUCCAUGAGUAAAGUGGCGCACGGGUGAGUAACACGUGACUAACCUACCCUUGAGUGGGGGAUAACCUAGGGAAACCUGGGCUAAUACCGCAUAAUACCUUCGGGUCAAAGGGGCAAUUCGCUUAAGGAGGGGGUCGCGGCCGAUUAGUUAGUUGGCGGGGUAAUGGCCCACCAAGACUGUGAUCGGUAUCC